rnacentral:tRNA from 1 species
GGUGCUGUGGCUUAGCAGGUAAAGCCACCACAUGCAAAGUAAGCAUCCCAUGUGGGCACCGGUUUGAGUCCUGUCUGCUCCA